AUUUUUGAUACGUUGGUUUUCUUGAUUCAUUCGUUCUUUGUAAAUGUGACUCAAGCCGUGUUUCUUGUGGGAUAGCACUGUUGUGGGGGGUCUGAUGAUGAAGGCAUAGUCGGCUAAGAAAGCAUUGAUGAGAACACUUGUUACAUUUGAAGGUAAGGAGCUCCUAGAAGGGGUGAUUGUUACAAACUCCACCUACCUCUGCCCCCCUAUACACCCGACUUCUCAAGGACAGCAGUAUUUGGAAGGAUAAGCUUCCUGAGCUCUUAACAAUCCGACUCGGUGAUGCCAAGAGCUGUCUCUGGAUUGUCACGACUUUGAGGUAGAACUAGGGCGGACUCCGGGCUUUGUGAGCUGGUCAGUGGCUGGAGGAGUUCGGCGCCCGGGUCCUGUCCUUUGCUGUGGACCGGAUUCCCAGUGGUGUGUGUCGCGAGCAAGGCUCCAACUCCGCUGUGCGUUGCGCUGUGAAGAGGUGCGUUUCGGGAAAGGGUAGUUCUGUAAAUGGACCCCUCCGCAGUGUGCGGAUUGUAGAGCAGCUCGGUGUACUCUACCGCAUCUGUCUUGAAGGUUUUAGAUGAGGGAGCACUGCAUUUUUGUAUUGCACAGGUCUUGCAAAUUAAGUCAUUGGUUUAAGAGCCAGGAGCCAAGACAUCUAGUCUUUUCAUUUUGUCCCAUGUGAAAUUUGUUGAUCUUCUGUUUGCAGUCCUGUGAUUCUAUAUGACUAACAGGUUUUAAGGGUUGUAGUAUAAAUAAAGUGUAUAACACCACAAGAAAUGCUGGUGAUGAGUCUCUGUUGAUAACCAUGUAAAUCAAGAGUUUCUAUAAUCAUAGUCUUAUACACUUCUCAUUUGUGAUUUGUAAGAUGGGUUUUUCUUGUGUGGGUUUUGUGUCGCAGACGUUAUGAUGGAAGCUUGAGACGCCUGCAUCUAGUACCCGUGUGCCUCGUUCCCAGCCCCGGCUGCUCUCCUUCCCAUCCAGCUUGCUGCUGAUGUGCAUCCUGGGAGGCAAGAGUGCAUGGACCUGACUGGACUCCGUGAGCACAUCCGUAAACAUGAGUGGUACCAAACCUGACAUUUUGUGGGCACCACACCAAGUUGACAGAUUUGUUGUCUGCGACUCAGAACUGAGCCUGUACCAUGUGGAAUCUACUGUGAAUUCAGAACUCAAAGCUGGAUCUUUACGUUUAUCCGAGGACUCUGCAGCCACGUUGCUGUCAAUCAAUUCAGAUACACCUUACAUGAAAUGCGUUGCCUGGUAUCUCAAUUAUGAUCCUGAAUGUCUCCUGGCAGUUGGACAAGCAAACGGUCGAGUUGUGCUUACAAGUCUUGGUCAGGAUCAUAACUCCAAGUUCAAAGAUUUGAUUGGGAAAGAGUUUGUUCCAAAACAUGCACGACAAUGCAAUACCCUUGCAUGGAAUCCUCUGGAUAGUAACUGGCUUGCUGCUGGUCUCGAUAAGCACAGAGCAGACUUCUCUGUGCUGAUAUGGGAUAUCUGCAGCAAAUAUACGCCUGAUGUAGUUCCCAUGGAAAAAGUGAGACUUUCAGCAGGCGAAACGGAAAGCACGUUAUUAGUAACAAAGCCGCUUUAUGAAUUAGGACAAAAUGAUGCUUGUCUCUCUCUCUGUUGGCUUCCACGAGACCAGAAACUUCUCCUGGCUGGUAUGCAUCGGAACCUAGCCAUAUUCGAUCUUCGGAAUACGAGCCAGAAGAUGUUUGUAAAUACAAAAGCUGUUCAGGGGGUGACUGUCGACCCAUACUUCCAUGAUCGUGUAGCUUCCUUCUAUGAAGGUCAGGUUGCAAUAUGGGACCUUAGAAAAUUUGAGAAGCCAGUUCUGACUUUAACUGAGCAACCAAAGCCCUUAACCAAAGUAGCAUGGUGUCCAACCAGGACUGGUCUGCUUGCCACUUUAACAAGGGAUAGUAAUAUCAUUAGACUGUAUGAUAUGCAGCACACACCCACUCCUAUUGGGGAUGAAACUGAGCCCACAAUUAUUGAAAGAAGCGUGCAACCCUGUGACAAUUACAUUGCUUCCUUUGCAUGGCACCCAACAAGUCAAAAUCGAAUGAUCGUUUUAACUCCCAACCGAACGAUGUCUGACUUUACUGUUUUUGAAAGGAUAUCCCUUGCCUGGAGUCCCGUUACAUCUUUAAUGUGGGCUUGUGGCCGUCAUUUGUAUGAAUGCACAGAAGAAGAAAACGAUAGUUCUUUAGAAAAAGAUAUAGCCACAAAGAUGCGCCUCCGGGCCCUGUCGAGGUACGGGCUCGACACAGAGCAGCUGUGGAGGAAUCACGUUUUAGCUGGAGAUGAAGACCCACAGCUCAAGUCACUGUGGUACACUCUGCACUUUAUGAAACAAUAUACAGAAGAUGUGGAUCAGAAGUCUCCAGGCAACAAAGGAUCAUUGGUUUAUGCAGGAAUUAAGUCAAUUGUAAAAUCAUCUUUGGGAAUGGUGGAAAGCAGUAGACACAAUUGGAGUGGGUUGGAUAAGCAAGCUGAUAUUCAGAAUUUAAAUGAAGAAAGAAUCUUAGCUUUGCAGCUUUGUGGGUGGAUAAGGAAGGGAACGGAUGUGGAUGUAGGGCCCUUUUUGAACUCCCUCGUACAAGAGGGGGAGUGGGAAAGAGCUGCUGCUGUGGCGUUGUUCAACUUGGAUAUUCGGCGAGCAAUCCAGAUCCUGAACGAAGGGGCAUCUUCAGAAAAAGGAGACCUGAAUCUCAAUGUGGUAGCCAUGGCCUUGUCAGGGUACACAAAUGAAAAAAACUCCCUUUGGAGAGAAAUGUGCAGCACCCUGCGAUUGCAACUGAACAAUCCAUACCUGUGUGUCAUGUUCGCGUUUCUGACCAGUGAAACAGGAACUUACGAUGGAGUUUUGUAUGAAAACAAAGUUGCAGUUCGUGACAGAGUGGCAUUUGCUUGUAAAUUCCUCAGUGAUGCUCAGUUAAAUAGAUACAUUGAAAAAUUGACCAAUGAAAUGAAAGAAGCUGGCAACUUGGAAGGCAUUUUGCUUACAGGCCUGACUAAGGACGGAGUGGAUUUAAUGGAGAGCUACGUGGACAGAACAGGGGAUGUGCAGACGGCCAGCUACUGCAUGCUGCAGGGUUCACCUUUAGAUGUUCUUAAAGAUGAAAGGGUUCAGUACUGGAUUGAGAAUUACAGAAAUUUAUUAGAUGCUUGGAGAUUUUGGCACAAGCGAGCUGAAUUUGAUAUUCACAGGAGUAAAUUGGACCCAAGUUCCAAGCCUUUAGCACAGGUGUUUGUGAGCUGCAAUUUCUGCGGUAAGUCCAUCUCCUACAGCUGUUCCACCGUGCCGCACCAGGGCAGAGGCUUCAGUCAGUAUGGUGUGAGCGGCUCCCCGACGAAAUCCAAAGUCACAAGUUGCCCCGGCUGUCGCAAACCCCUUCCUCGCUGUGCACUUUGCCUCAUUAACAUGGGGACUCCUGUAUCUAGCUGUCCUGGUAUGGCAUAGUUCUGCGUUACUUCUCUGAGCUGGAGCUGUUCCUGUAUAAUUGAGUUAAUGACAAAAAUAAACCACAGGAUAGUUUCUUUUGUGAUCCUUCUAAGUUUAUAUGCUUUAAAAAUAAAUGCUCUAUCUACUAUACUUCAGGUGAUCUCACAAAUGUGAACAAGUUUAAAGUUUAUGAGGAAGGCAGGCUGAAGGUGUUUGCUGGCAGUGUCGUCUUUCUGGUGAACACGUGUAGUUGGUGGUAUGGCCUCUGCUGGGUUGUCAUGCUGUCACAGUUGAAGCAGGGAAGUGGAGCCUGAGCUGUGGGCCAGUACAGGGGUAGCACCCCCACAGCAAGAAGAGCAGGCGUUCAGUGGUUACAGAAUAGAGUUCAAGGGCAUUAAUGCUCAAUGUCAUCUCUACUGUCAAGUGAGUUCAUGAACAAAUUCCGUUCUAGAAUCACCCAUACAAAGGACGGUCUCUAAUACUGCAGCCUAUAAUCAGUGAAGUUAGACUUACUAGAAAGCCAAGCUGAGAAAUAAAGGAAAGGUAUUGCGACUUUUCCGCUCCUAUUGGUUUACGCACGAGUACAAGUUGUAGCCACAGAAUUUUUUAUAAAGAAAAAAAAGCUUAAAUGUAAUCUUAGAAUUAUACUGUUUUCUUAAGAUUACUCCACUAAUAGAAAUUCCUCAAAGCUUGAAAUUUGAAAAUCACUUUACCUGUAUCUGUUAACUUCCAACUUUGUCUGCGGAAGGAGCUUUUCCUAGUCUCAGUUAGCUUAAACAUUUCCUCUUCAUCUUUGCAAUCUGAGUGCAUAGAGGAAGUCAGUAACCUAGAAGCCAGGUCCCCUGAAUUCUAGGCCAAAUGCUGCUUCAGCUGU